UACAGAGGGUGCGAGCGUUGUCCGGAAUCACUGGGCGUAAAGGGCGCGUAGGCGGCUUGAUAAGCGUGCGGUGAAAGCCCGGGGCUCAACCCCGGGUCGGCCGUGCGAACUGUCGAGCUGGAGCACUGUAGAGGCAGGUGGAAUUCCGGGUGUAGCGGUGGAAUGCGUAGAGAUCCGGAAGAACACCGGUGGCGAAGGCGGCCUGCUGGGCAGUGGCUG
rnacentral:rRNA from 1 species